rnacentral:rRNA from 1 species
AUUGAACGCUGGCGGCUUGCUUUACACAUGCAAGUCGAACGGUAACAGGCCUUCGGGUGCUGACGAGUGGCGAACGGGUGAGUAAUGCAUCGGAACGUGCCCAGAGGUGGGGGAUAACGCAGCGAAAGCUGUGCUAAUACCGCAUGUGAUCUGAGGAUGAAAGCGGGGGACCAAGCAGCAAUGUUUGGCCUCGCGCCUCUGGAGCGGCCGAUGUCAGAUUAGGUAGUUGGUGGGGUAAAGGCCUACCAAGCCGACGAUCUGUAGCUGGUCUGAGAGGACGACCAGCCACACUGGGACUGAGACACGGCCCAGACUCCUACGGGAGGCAGCAGUGGGGAAUUUUGGACAAUGGGCGCAAGCCUGAUCCAGCAAUGCCGCGUGCGGGAAGAAGGCCUUCGGGUUGUAAACCGCUUUUGUACGGAACGAAAAGGCUCUGGCUAAUACCUGGGGCUGAUGACGGUACCAUAAGAAUAAGCACCGGCUAACUACGUG